rnacentral:rRNA from 1 species
AGUGAACGCUGGCGGCGUGCUUAACACAUGCAAGUCGAACGGACUUUAAGGGGCUUGCUUCUUAAAGUUAGUGGCGCACGGGUGAGUAAUGAAUAGCUAACCUGCCCUUUAGUGGGGGACAACAGUUGGAAACGGCUGCUAAUACCCCAUACUCCUUCUUAUCAUAAGGUAAGUUGGGAAAGAUUUAUUGCUAAAGGAUGGGGCUUUAUGGUAUCAGCUAGUUGGUGGGGUAAAGGCCUACCAAGGCUAUGACGCCUACCUGGUCUGAGAGGAUGAUCAGGCACACUGGAACUGAGACACGGUCCAGACUCCUACGGGAGGCAGCAGUGGGGAAUAUUGCACAAUGGAGGAAACUCUGAUGCAGCAACGCCGCGUGGAGGAUGACGCAUUUCGGUGUGUAAACUCCUUUUAUAAGGGAAGAUAAUGACGGUACCUUAUGAAUAAGCACCGGCUAACUCCGUGCCAGCAGCCGCAGUAA